rnacentral:rRNA from 1 species
GGACGGGUGAGUAACGCGUAGGAAUCUGCCCGUACGUGGGGGAUACCAGUUGGAAACGACUGUUAAUACCGCAUAAUACCUAAGGGUUAAAGGUGGCCAUUGUGCUACCGCGUACGGAUGAGCCUGCGUUGGAUUAGCUAGUUGGUGGGGUAAAGGCCUACCAAGGCUACGAUCCAUAGCUGAUUUGAGAGGAUGAUCAGCCACACUGGAACUGAGACACGGUCCAGACUCC